GACGAACGCUGGCGGCGUGCUUAACACAUGCAAGUCGAACGGUGAAGCUCCAGCUUGCUGGAGUGGAUCAGUGGCGAACGGGUGAGUAACACGUGAGCAACCUGCCCCUGACUCUGGAAUAAGCGCUGGAAACGGCGUCUAAUACUGGAUACGAGAAGGGUCCGCAUGGGCACUUUCUGGAAAGUUUUUCGGUUGGGGAUGGGCUCGCGGCCUAUCAGCUUGUUGGUGAGGUAAUGGCUCACCAAGGCGACGACGGGUAGCCGGCCUGACAGGGCGACCGGCCACACUGGGACUGACACACGGCCCAGACUCCUACGGGAGGCAGCAGUGGGGAAUAUUGCACAAUGGGCGAAAGCCUGAUGCAGCGACGCCGCGUGAGGGAUGACGGCCUUCGGGUUGUACACCUCUUUCAGCAGGGAAGAAGCGAAAGUGCCGCUACCUGCAGAAGAAGCACCGGCUAACUACGUG
rnacentral:rRNA from 1 species